rnacentral:rRNA from 1 species
GACGAACGCUGGCGGCGUGCCUAAUACAUGCAAGUAGAACGCUGAAGGGAGGAGCUUGCUCUUCUUGGAUGAGUUGCGAACGGGUGAGUAACGCGUAGGUAACCUGCCUGGUAGCGGGGGAUAACUAUUGGAAACGAUAGCUAAUACCGCAUAAAAUGGAUUAUCGCAUGAUAAUCCAUUGAAAGGUGCAAAUGCAUCACUACCAGAUGGACCUGCGUUGUAUUAGCUAGUUGGUGGGGUAACGGCUCACCAAGGCGACGAUACAUAGCCGACCUGAGAGGGUGAUCGGCCACACUGGGACUGAGACACGGCCCAGACUCCUACGGGAGGCAGCAGUAGGGAAUCUUCGGCAAUGGACGGAAGUCUGACCGAGCAACGCCGCGUGAGUGAAGAAGGUUUUCGGAUCGUAAAGCUCUGUUGUAAGAGAAGAACGAGUGUGAGAGUGGAAAGUUCACACUGUGACGGUAUCUUACCAGAAAGGGACGGCUAACUACGUG